UAAGUUAUUAAUGUUUCUCAAAAUACUUAGUAAAUAUUGAAUAUAACCAUUUUAAUAAUCAUAGGUACAGUUUUGGCUCAGUUAGUCAUAAAAGCGAUUUGCCUUCUUGAGAAUGCUGGUGCUAAGGUGGAUGGAUUAGUGUCAGACGGAGAAACUAGUAAUAGAAAAUUAUUGUCUGAACUGGGAAUAAGUGGUGAAAAAGAUACUUUCAAACAAAUUUAACCAUUCUUUGGACGAUAAAAUACAUAUUUACGUGUUCUCUGAUGCACCCCAUCUUCUCAAGAAUGAAUCACCAAAAAAACACUACAUUAGAUUGAAUGAUUUCGUUGAAGUCCAUAACAAUGAUUUGAAAAAUAUUUCUGAUGCACCAACUAAAGUGUGCCCUAAAAUCACACAUAGACAUAUAUUAAUUGAUAGUUUUAGUAAGAUGAAUGUUAAAUUGGCUGCACAAAUUUUUAGUAACUCAAUGGCCAGAGGAAUUGAAUUUUACAGGGAGUAUGCUAAAAUAGAGAGCUUAAAAAAUAAUUAUGAAACACAAUCAUUUACUGAUCGAUUUAACAAAUUGUUUGAUGCUUUAAAUCGAAAACACCCUGCAGAGGGCAUACAAAUAAAUAGCAAAGACUGAGAUUUUAGAAGAUAAUCUUAAAUGGCUUGAUAAUUGGGAAGAUCAACUAAAUAAACAAAAUAUUUCCAAAGAUGAAUUUUUAACUAAAUCAACUGCAGAUGGUUUAAGGGUCACUAUCAAGUCAACUAUUGAACUAUCAAAAUGUUUAUUGGAGGAAUGCAAAUUUAAAUAUGUUUUGUCUGCUAAAUUUAAUCAAGACCGACUAGAAGUAAAAUAAGAACUGAAUUUUUAAU